CCUUGCCACUGGAAGACGUUCUUUGGAAGUUUUUAGGCGUUGGUGACGUUUUGUGCUUCCACUACAUACUUUGAUCUUUUGUCUCUGGAUCAAACUGAUGUACCCAGUUUCACCCUGAGUAACAAUACCGAAGAAAGUAAACGGAUAUAUCCAGGGAGACCCCUCGAGAAACUGUUAACAAACCAUGUUGUGGGGAAUGCUCACUAGUCCGCCGAUAUCUAUUAUUGCCAUUGUUACGAUUGAUGGUUUCAUGUAAAUGCAACGAACUCUGACAAUAACGCACCCACCCUGACAAUGAAAUGUAAAUGAAAUGAAAUGAAACGGGGUUUAACGUCCUAUAGGUUAUGCCCCGAACUGGGCUAAUGAAGACGGACAUGAGGGAAAUUUUGCCCGGACAGCGGCACUACUGCCUACUCUUAUAUCGAAUUCCAACUGUCAAGGGAUCAUUUACGUACACGGGACCUCUGUUUUUCGUCCCAUCCGAACGACUAGGUAGCUGUUCUUGUCAGGCCACAAUGAAAUGUAACGCACUCACACUGGCAAUGGAAUGUAAAGCACCAAGCCCGACCGACAAUGAAAUGUAAUACACCAACCCUGACAAUGGUAUGUUCGCAACGCACCCACACUGACGGCAUGUACGCAACGCACCCACACUGACAAUGAUAACGGUUGUCUGUUUGACAUUGAUUGGUGUUGUGUAUUCACAGUUUAGUCAGGAUCCAUGUCUUCGGAAACAGUGUCCACUUGGUACGGGAUGUCGAAUUGUUGCCAAAAUAUGCAAGGGCGAAAACGCAGCGGACUGUAAUCCUGAACCAGAAUGUGUCCGAGCACCGUAUGCCAUCAGUAAUUUCAACCCUUGUGCUGUUGGUCAACCACUGUUGAGUUCUAUUGGUCAGCCAUUGUAUUGUACAAUUGACCAAUGUCCUAAAUCUUCCUAUUGUAUGCGGUCGUAUGGUCCUGCUGGUGUUUGCUGUUUCGACUUUAAAGGAUAUUAUGUUGGUAAUAAACUGGGUUUCUGUCCAUUUCCAAGAAUAUUUGGUCAGUGUAAGAAUGAUUGUACUCAAGACCAGGAUUGCUCAUUUAUGCAGAAAUGUUGUGCUUCACCAUGUGGUUAUUCGUGUCGCAUGUCCUUUGCUGGAUGAGUUAUCUUCUCUUCGUCAAUAACAAAAGGCAUAUCAAUAUCAUAAUAAAGUAAUUUAACAUA